rnacentral:rRNA from 1 species
CCCUGCCUUUUGUACACACCGCCCGUCGCUCCUACCGAUUGGAUGGUCCGGUGAGAAUUCUGGACUGCGGCUUUACCGUGUGGUUCGCCAUACGCGGCUGCGGGAAGCUAUUCAAACCUUAUCAUCUA